rnacentral:lncRNA from 1 species
CUUUGAAAUUAAUAAAUACCUCAAGGGAGACACUCGAAGCCAACGCAGGCCUGUCGUCCCCUCAAGUUUGUUUAUUGAUUUGUGUGUCCGUCGGUGGGUCUCGGUGGCAACGCUUAUGACUGUGGUCUUCUCACCGAGACACUCUCUCAAGUUUGUUUAUUGAUUCGUGUGUCCGUCGGUGGGUCUCGGUGGCCAUGCUUAUGUCUGUGGUCCUCUCACCGCGACACCCUGUUUCCCUCAUUCCUUCCACAUUUACCAAUGAGAUUUCUUCUCAAAGAAGAGCUGUCUCUUCUCCCCCAUUUAAUGUCAGCAGCAGCACUUUGCCUAAGGUGAGAGUGUGCUCCUCCGGGCCUCCUGGGAACCGAGCCAGCAGAGGGUUCAGCAGGGAGAGGCAGAGACCCCGGGGGUGUCUUUUCCGCUUGCCAAGGGCUGGUUGCCCUCCCCGCUGCCCCAGCGCCGACCCUUGCCCGCAUGGCACAGGAUGAUGGGUUGAGGGCCGCAGUCUGUCUCCCCACGCAGCCCGCAGAGACAGCCCAUGCUGCCUUGUUGGUGUCGCAGGCAUUUAAAUUGCCAUUUUAUUUAAAUUUAUGUCCAAAGAUACGGCGGAGAAAGGGCC